GAACGUUUGGCACAGUUGGAAGUGCGCUCGCACCGAACGCGAGAGGUCGCGGGUUCGAGUCCCGCAUCGUUCA